AGCGAACGCUGGCGGCAGGCCUAACACAUGCAAGUCGAACGAAGUCUUCGGACUUAGUGGCGGACGGGUGAGUAACACGUGGGAACGUGCCUUUAGGUUCGGAAUAACUCAGGGAAACUUGUGCUAAUACCGAAUGUGCCCUUCGGGGGAAAGAUUUAUCGCGCUUUAGAGCGGCCCGCGUCUGAUUAGCUAGUGGGUGAGGUAAAGGCUCACCAAGGCGACGAUCAGUAGCUGGUCUGAGAGGAUGAUCAGCCACAUUGGGACUGAGACACGGACCAAACUCCUACUGAAGGCAGCAGUGGGGAAUCUUGCGCAAUGGGCGAAAGCCUGACGCAGCCAUGCCGCGUGAAUGAUGAAGGUCUUAGGAUUGUAAAAUCCUUUCACCGGUGAAGAUAAUGACUGUACCGGAAGAAUAAGCCCCGGCUAACUUCGUGCCAGCCGCCGCCGUAAAAC
rnacentral:rRNA from 1 species